AUACGCGAACCUUUUAUGCAGGCUGGCCAACUCAAGUUUCAGCGGUGAAACGUAACACCGCGGCUUAUGGAGGUUGUGUAGUUGAAAUGGUCAAAAGGUUGAUGUUAACGAUUCGGGAAAGUGUCACAAACUUCAAUUUUCAACUGGCUGGAAUUACGUUAUUUCAAUUCGCCAUUCAACGCGGGAAUAUUUUACACCGCAUGAUUCGUUUCUGCAAGAUGGCUCUCCUG